rnacentral:rRNA from 1 species
AUUUUGGGCGUAAGGGCUUGCAGGCGGUUUUCUUAAGUCUGAUGUGAAAGCCCCCGGCUCAACCGGGGAGGGUCAUUGGAAACUGGGGAACUUGAGUGCAGAAGAGGAGAGUGGAAUUCCACGUGUAGCGGUGAAAUGCGUAGAGAUGUGGAGGAACACCAGUGGCGAAGGCGACUCUCUGGUCUGUAACUGACGCUGAGGAGCGAAAGCGUGGGGAGCGAACAGGAUUAGAUACCCUGGUAGUCCACGCCGUAAACGAUGAGUGCUAAGUGUUAGGGGGUUUCCGCCCCUUAGUGCUGCAGCUAACGCAUUAAGCACUCCGCCUGGGGAGUACGGUCGCAAGACUGAAACUCAAAGGAAUUGACGGGGGCCCGCACAAGCGGUGGAGCAUGUGGUUUAAUUCGAAGCAACGCGAAGAACCUUACCAGGUCUUGACAUCCUCUGACAAUCCUAGAGAUAGGACGUCCCCUUCGGGGGCAGAGUGACAGGUGGUGCAUGGUUGUCGUCAGCUCGUGUCGUGAGAUGUUGGGUUAAGUCCCGCAACGAGCGCAACCCUUGAUCUUAGUUGCCAGCAUUCAGUUGGGCACUCUAAGGUGACUGCCGGUGACAAACCGGAGGAAGGUGGGGAUGACGUCAAAUCAUCAUGCCCCUUAUGACCUGGGCUACACACGUGCUACAAUGGACAGAACAAAGGGCAGCGAAACCGCGAGGUUAAGCCAAUCCCACAAAUCUGUUCUCAGUUCGGAUCGCAGUCUGCAACUCGACUGCGUGAAGCUGGAAUCGCUAGUAAUCGCGGAU